rnacentral:rRNA from 1 species
UACUGAGUGAGGGCCCUCUGGGUCCACCUCCCACCCGUGUUUAUUGUACCUUGUUGCUUCGGUGCGCCCGCCUCACGGCCGCCGGGGGGCUUCUGCCCCCGGGUCCGCGCGCACCGGAGACACUAUUGAACUCUGUCUGAAGAUUGCAGUCUGAGCAUAAACUAAAUAAGUUAAAACUUUCAACAACGGAUCUCUUGGUUCCGGCAUCGAUGAAGAACGCAGCGAAAUGCGAUAACUAAUGUGAAUUGCAGAAUUCAGUGAAUCAUCGAGUCUUUGAACGCACAUUGCGCCCCCUGGUAUUCCGGGGGGCAUGCCUGUCCGAGCGUCAUUGCUGCCCUCAAGCACGGCUUGUGUGUUGGGCUCCGUCCCCCCGGGGACGGGUCCGAAAGGCAGCGGCGGCACCGAGUCCGGUCCUCGAGCGUAUGGGGCUUUGUCACCCGCUCUGUAGGCCCGGCCGGCGCCAGCCGACAACCAAUCAUCCUUUUUUCAGGUUGACCUCGGAUCAGGUAGGGAUACCCGCUGAACUUAAGCAUAUCA